CCCGCACAUGCAGUGGAGUAUGUGGUUUAAUUCGAAGCAACGCGAAGAACCUUACCAGGGCUUGACAUCCCUUGAAGCAGCUAGAGAUAGCUGUGUCCUUCGGGACAAGGAGACAGGUGGUGCAUGGUUGUCGUCAGCUCGUGUCGUGAGAUGUUGGGUUAAGUCCCGCAACGAGCGCAACCCCUGUGGUUAGUUGCCAGCAAGUAGCGUUGGGCACUCUAGCCAGACUGCCGGUGAUAAAUCGGAGGAAGGUGGGGACGACGUCAAAUCAUCAUGCCCUUUAUGUCCUGGGCUACACACGUACUACAAUGGCCGGUACAGACGGACGCAAAGCCGCGAGGUGGAGCAAAUCCUAAAAAGCCGGUCUCAGUUCGGAUUGCAGGCUGCAAUUCGCCUGCAUGAAGUCGGAAUCGCUAGUAAUCGCAGGUCAGCAUACUGCGGUGAAUACGUUCCCGGGCCUU
rnacentral:rRNA from 1 species